GACGAACGCUGGCGGCGUGCUUAACACAUGCAAGUUGAACGAGAAUUUUUUAAUAGAUUUCUUCGGAAUGAAAUUAAAAAAGGAAAGUAGCGAACGGGUGAGUAACACGUGAGAAACCUGCCUUUCACAAAGGGAUAGCCUCGGGAAACCGGGAUUAAUACCUUAUGACACGGAGAUAUCGCAUGAUAAUUUCGUUAAAGAAUUUCGGUGAAAGAUGGUCUCGCGUCUGAUUAGCUAGUUGGUAAGGUGACGGCUUACCAAGGCGACGAUCAGUAGCCGGAUUGAGAGGUUGAACGGCCACACUGGAACUGAGACACGGUCCAGACUCCUACGGGAGGCAGCAGUGGGGAAUUUUGCACAAUGGGGGGAACCCUGAUGCAGCGACGCCGCGUGAACGAUGAAGGUCUUCGGAUUGUAAAGUUCUGUCCUUAGUGAAGAUAAUGACUGUAACUAAGAAGCAAGCCCUGGCUAAAUACGUGCCAGCCGCCGCCGUAACAC
rnacentral:rRNA from 1 species